rnacentral:rRNA from 1 species
AGUGGAUGGGGAGCAACCUAGUUGUGCGUGUGUAAAGGUAGUGCCAAGAAAAGCGGUGAUCAUGAUGAAAAUCAAUUCCCGGUACCCGAAACCGACACAGGUGGGCAAGUAGAGAAUACUAAGGGGCGCGAGGUAACUCUCUCCAAGGAACUCGGCAAAAUGACCCCGUAACUUAGGGAGAAGGGGUGCCACCGAGAGGUGGUCGCAGUGAAGAGGCCCAGGCGACUGUUUAGCAAAAACAUAGGUCUCUGCAAACUCGAAAGAGGAGGUAUAGGGGCUGACGCCUGCCCAGUGCCGGAAGGUUAAAGAAGUUGGUCAGUCUUAGGAUAAAGCUAGCGACUGAAGCCCCGGUGAACGGCGGCCGUAACUAUAACGGUCCUAAGGUAGCGAAAUUCCUUGUCGGGUAAGUUCCGACCCGCACGAAAGGCGUAACGAUCUGGGCGCUGUCUCGGAGAGAGGCUCGACGAAAUAGGAUUGUCUGUGAAGAUACGGACUACCUGCAUUUGGACAGAAAGACCCUAUGAAGCUUUACUAUAGCUUGGAAUUGUGUUCGGGCUUCCUGUGCGCAGGAUAGGUGGGAGGCGAAGAAGGUAUUCUUGUGGGGAUACUGGAGCCAACGGUGAGAUACCACUCUCAGGAGGCUAGAAUUCUAACUUAAUUAAGGACAGUUUCAGGUGGGUAGUUUGACUGGGGCGGUCGCCUCCAAAAAGGUAACGGAGGCGUACAAAGGUUCCCUCAGACUGGUUGGAAAUCAGUCGCAGAGUGCAAAGGCAGAAGGGAGCUUGACUGCGAGAAGUACAGUUCGAGCAGGGUGGAAACACGGUCUUAGUGAUCCGACGGUGCUGUGUGGAAGGGCCGUCGCUCAACGGAUAAAAGUUACUCUAGGAUAACAGGCUGAUCUCCCCCAAGAGUUCACAUCGACGGGGAGGUUUGGCACCUCGAUGUCGGCCCAUCGCAACCUGGGGCGGAAGUACGUCCCAAGGGUUGGGCUGUUCGCCCAUUAAAGUUACGUGAGCUGGGUUCAGAACGUCGUGAGACAGUUCGGUCCAUAUCCGAUGUAGGCGUGAGAAUAUUGAGAGGAGCCUUCCUUAGUACGAGAGGACCGGGAAGGACGCACCGCUGGUGUACCUGUUAUGAUGCCAAUUGUAAACGCAGGGUAGCCAAGUGCGGAGAGGAUAACCGCUGAAAGCAUCUAAGUGGGAAGCCCACCUCAAGAUGAGUAUUCUGGUGUAAGGUCACGGGAAGACGACCCGUAAAUAGGCACGAGGUGGAAGUGCAGAGAUGUAUGAAGCCGAAGUGUACUAAUAGACCGUCGGCUUGACC